rnacentral:tRNA from 1 species
GGGCCACUAGCUCAAUGGAUAGAGUACGAGGCUACGAACCUCGGGAUGGGGGUUCGAUUCCCUCGUGGCCCUCCA